rnacentral:miRNA from 1 species
GGGUGGUGCGGCUGAGGGCCCUGUGUGGGUGCGGGCAUGUGAGUGUGUGUCAUUGGGGUCCAUGCUCUUGCACACACCCACACGCCGGGACUC